UCACAGCUAGGUCGUUGGAAUCAACUAACUCUCUCACUCUUUGGUUACCUAGCAACAGCCUGCUGGGCAAGAAGCAGUUUCAAGUUCCCCCCAACUUUGGUUGCCUGGCAACAGCCUGCUGGGUAACUGCAGCAGUAACCUGCCUCAAAACUGCUUAAAAGUAAAAAUCAACGGCGUGGAGAGGAAACUCGAUGAAACAGGACAGAUCACUCCACCAGUCUGCUACAGUGACUCACAGCUUUUCCUGCCAGCCGACUUUUCUCCCUUUUUCUCUCCUGGCACUUCCACUCCAAAGACAAGAAGGAGGAACUGAGGUAUUUCCUGCCAUUGUGGGGGAUGAUGAGUAGAAGGAGGGAGGGGAAAAGGGAAAAGAAAACCGCUCUGAAAUGGGUCGGAUCGGACCAAAAUGAGGCAGAACGGGCCUGAAACCUCCCGCACGGCUCCGCCCGUUUUCAGUGUUGACGCAGAGUCUGUGGGAGAAGACGUGCUGAGCCCCGGCGGUUGUAACCAUCCUGGAAUGUCUCGCUGCUCAGUCCGGGAAUGUUCCACUUUAACGUCAAAGAUACGACUUCAGAACUAAGCAGUUUAACUCUAAAGCUUCUGAAAGUGUCUUUCCCUCAUCACAUAUACAGAGUUCCCAUAACUCUGUAGUGAUCCGCGCAGAUCAACCGCCAUCUUGGUAGGCAAGCGCAGCGCAAAACCUAGAUGAACCAUGGCUUCCAGACCAACAAAAAGAAAAUUUGGAUUUGGUUGCAGCGUGACGUCACGCCCCCAUCUCCCUGCUGGAGGGUAAAAAGCUACUGGCUAACGAAGACUACCAUUCCCUGACCCCCAUCUGAAUCAGGGUCACAUGUCUGCUUGUCCAGUUUGACUUACAUGCCUGCCCUGUUUGGGACCGUUUGGGGUGCUGCUGGAGCUGCGGGGUGUGGGUCCCAGCAGCCCCCCGCUGCCCAGUAAACCCAGUCUGGCUCCCGGUAAGCUCCUGGAAGGC